UUUAUCUUUGAAUUUUUGUUUGUAAGUGAAGUCUGAUGGGUCAACGGAGCGAGCGCCAGGGACUCACACUCAGUCCUGCCUCCUGCCAGCUCCUUGCCUUUCUGGGUCAGAAUCUCAACUGCAUCCUCUACCCCCCACCCCAACCCAGGCAACUACCUCCUACCUCUGCAUAGUGCCCCAGGCCCCCUCCCUACCCCUCCCUACCCCUACCCUGUGACCUAUCCUGCAUUCCCUGCCUCUCACCUGUCCACUGCAGGUUCGGAUGGCGGGCACGUGGGAACGGGAGAAGCCUGGUCUGACUUCCCCGCCAAAGCUGUGGCAAGAAUAGCAGGAGCAUCUUAAAAAGACCCUGCCGACCGCCCUGGAGGAGAUGGAAGCUGCUCGCCUGGCACUCUCUCUGGUCUUCUCUCCGCAGACGAUGUGAUCUCGAUGCAGAAACUGCCAGUGCUCACCUCCAAGCAGUAGGUAAACGUGCCUUCCGACCCCGAGAGUUUCUCCUACUCCUGUGUGCUGGGCACUGUGGGAUCUGGUCAGGUCAGGCAGACACUACUGGGACAUGGAGAUGGCCUUUGGUAGCUACUGGGGGCUUGGCAUGGUCAAAGAAUCUGGGACAAAGAAAGAGUGGUUUAAACUAAAACCUGAAAAAGGCAUCUGGGCUAUAGGGAUCUACCAAAGUCACUGUCAGGCUCCCAGCCACCCCUGCACUGGCGUCUUCUUAAAAGACAGAGCCAGGAAGAUCCCAGUGUCUUUGGACUACAAAGGGGGCCACAAUGUGGAGAUCUGACUUCCAUUUGACCUUUUCAGCCAUGUUUAUUGAUAAAAUCUUUUCUUUUUUUCCGGCUGCCCUCAAAAGGAGCCAGUACAACCCUUCGCUCCUUGUAGGAAGCCCCUUCUAAGCAUAUAUAUCUUCCCAAGAAACGCAGGGAGUGGGUCACGAGCAUCCAGGAGCUGCUUCUUCAGCCAUCUUUGCUGAUGCCAGGAGAACAUAGGAUUUCUGUUGCUAGUGGGACAAUCUAUGUGGUCGACGGCAGAGUAGAAAUAAAAACAGGUUAUCCCUUACCAUGCACCUCACCCUGGGUUAGUGUGGGAGUCAAACUUUUCAGAGGCCUUCUUUCCUUCUACAUCCACCUUCAUCAAAUGCCAUUUAAAACACUACUUCAGUCUCUCAAAUAAAACCCAACUUACCUGCUCUAAAAAACUCUCCCCCAAGAAGAGACCAAGUGAAGAUAAUUGUGUAGCCACAGAAAAACCUUUACAACAAAGGCAUUGUCUAUAAUUACACUUAAUUUAAUACACACACGUUAUUCCCAUAGUAAGAUGUGAUGUGAAGGCAAAAGUGUGACUCUGUAUCUGUAUCUAAAGUAUAUUUUGCAACAUGCGUAUACCACCUCAUAAUGAAGAUUUUUCUUUCAAAGUCUCAAAAUAUGUGCAGCUGACAUGUUCAGUGAGGCUUUUUUAAGCACUGGCCAAAUUAGAGGCACUACUUCUCCCUCUGGUCCAGAUGGUACUUCCAUUUCCAUUUAUAGCAGUAAGAUAGACAUUAUAGAGCCGUAAGACAAAGACUAACCAAAAUAAUUUUCCUUUCCCUUUAUUUCCUAUUAAAUGCAGAACCAAGCUAUAUCCACAGUGUCCCCUCUCCUCUGCCCGAUAAUGGGAGAUUCUCAUUAUCUGAAUGAUCCCUGGCCCCAAAUCUGGGCAGCUCACUGGGACUGGGGGGUGGAGGACAGAGGGGCAGCCCAUACCUCUAGUGGGUCAUCUGUCAAUAAGGGGAGAUGGUCUGUCUCUGUGUAUUACUUUCCUCAGAACACAAAUUGUCCUCCCACAGCGAUAUCCUGUCACAACUCUCAUACCCCGCUGGGACCUGAGAGGAUGUGC